UACGUAGGGGGGCAAGCGUUGUCCGGAAUUAUUGGGCGUAAAGCGCGUGUAGGCGGCUCGGUAAGUCUGCUGUGAAAGUCCAGGGCUCAACCCUGGAAUGCCGGUGGAUACUGUCGAGCUAGAGUCCGGAAGAGGCGAGUGGAAUUCCUGGUGUAGCGGUGAAAUGCGCAGAUAUCAGGAGGAACACCAAUGGCGAAGGCAGCUCGCUGGGACGGUACUGACGCUGAGACGCGAAAGCGUGGGGAGCAAACAGG
rnacentral:rRNA from 1 species